GUGGCCGUAGCUCAGUUGGUAGAGCGCUGGAUUGUGGUUUCAGCUGUCGCGGGUUCGAAACCCGUCGGUCACC
rnacentral:tRNA from 1 species